rnacentral:rRNA from 1 species
ACGCUCGACACCUACGGGGGGCAGCAGUGGGGAAUAUUGCACAAUGGGGGAAACCCUGAUGCAGCGACGCCGCGUGAAGGAAGAAGUAUUUCGGUAUGUAAACUUCUAUCAGCAGGGAAGAAAAUGACGGUACCUGAGUAAGAAGCACCGGCUAAAUACGUGCCGGCAGCCGCGGUAAUCUGAGCGGGCUGGCAAGGC